GGAAGGUUUUAUUCUGACUUUCAAAAUAAUUUUUUUAAUGUUUAUCAUGUAAAUUUUUAAAUUAUUAAUUUGCAGUUAUUAGUUUUAAAUAUUACUUUUUGUAGAUUUAGCAAUUGAAUUUAGUUCAGGCAAAACUUGUGCCAGCAGCCGCGGUUAUACAAUUUGUGCAAUUUAUUUUUAUUGAUUUAUGGUUAUGUAAAUAAUUUUCUGGUUUAAUAAUUUUAAUUGAAGGUGAAAUUUAAUUAAAAUUUAAAUUAAAUUUUUUUUUCAGAGGCUAUUAAGUUUCAAGUUUAAACUAGGAUUAGAUACCCUAUUAUUUGAAUUGUAAAUUAUGAUCAUAUUACUAAUAGUUAUAAUCUUUAAAAUAAAAGAUUCUGGCGGUAUUUUAGUCUUUUCAGAGGAACCUGUUUCUUAAUUGAUAGUCCACGAUUAAUUUUUCUUUUAGUAGAAGUUUGUAUAUCGUCGUGGAUGGAAAUGUUAUAAGAUUAAUAAUUUUUUAUUUUUUAUAUAAAAAUUAAUUCAGAUCAAGGUGCAGCUUAUCUGUGAGAUGAAAUGGGUUACAAUAAAUUUAUUUAUUACUAAUUAGAAUAUUUAAUUUUUUAUGAGGGUGGAUUUGAUAGUAAUAAAAUUUAUUUAAAUUUUAUGAUUAAGCUCUAUGAUAUGUACAUAUCGCCCGUCGCUUUCAUUUAUGAAAUAAGUCGUAACAUAGUAGAUUUACUGGAAAGUGAUUCUAGAUAGAC
rnacentral:ncRNA from 1 species